ACUUUGUUGGCUAAAACUAACUGCUUGAUCCUAAUCCCACCCAGUUCCAAGGAAACAGAAGAGACAGCUUUCUACUCCCAAAAAGGACAGAAGGAAUGUGUCUUCUCAAGUACAGGCAAUACUGCCCAAGCCUGGCUUAUUUGUGCAUAUAAACCUACAGUUAACACCCUGCCAUUUGUCAUGGGUGUCCUUCCAUGGCUAUUUCUAUUUCUUACCUAAAGAACCCUGAGGACGGUGGGACGCAUGCUCAUUUUCCUGUGCUGUUCUUAGGAUGGAAUAUUAAACACCCCUGCUAAUAAAAUUAAUAC
rnacentral:lncRNA from 1 species